rnacentral:rRNA from 1 species
UACGUAGGGACCGAGCGUUGUCCGGAUUUAUUGGGCGUAAAGAGCGUGUAGGCGGCCAGGUAGGUGGGUUGUGAAAACUGGAGGCUCAACCUUCAGACGUCGACCCAAACCCCCCUGGCUAGAGUCCGGAAGAGGAGAGUGGAAUUCCUGGUGUAGCGGUGAAAUGCGCAGAUAUCAGGAAGAACACCCGUGGCGAAGGCGGCUCUCUGGGACGGUACUGACGCUGAGACGCGAAAGCGUGGGGAGCGAACAGG